UACGAAGGGGGCUAGCGUUGCUCGGAAUGACUGGGCGUAAAGGGCGCGUAGGCGGAUGGUUAAGUCAGACGUGAAAGUCCUGGGCUUAACCUGGGAACUGCGUUUAAUACGGGUUGUCUUGAGUGGGGAAGAGGGUCGUGGAAUUCCCAGUGUAGAGGUGAAAUUCGUAGAUAUUGGGAAGAACACCGGUGGCGAAGGCGGCGACCUGGUCUUUGACUGACGCUGAGGCGCGAAAGCGUGGGGAGCAAACAGG
rnacentral:rRNA from 1 species